rnacentral:rRNA from 1 species
UACGAAGGGUGCAAGCGUUAAUCGGAAUUACUGGGCGUAAAGCGCGCGUAGGUGGUUCAGUAAGUUGGAAGUGAAAUCCCCGGGCUCAACCUGGGAACUGCUUUCAAAACUGCUGAGCUAGAGUACGAUAGAGGGUGGUGGAAUUUCCUGUGUAGCGGUGAAAUGCGUAGAUAUAGGAAGGAACACCAGUGGCGAAGGCGACCACCUGGACUGAUACUGACACUGAGGUGCGAAAGCGUGGGGAGCAAACAGG